AUUGAACGCUGGCGGCAGGCCUAACACAUGCAAGUCGAGCGGGGUUUUCGGACCUAGCGGCGGACGGGUGAGUAAUGCGUGGGAGCCUACCCAGUGAGGGGGGAUCCCGUUUGGAACGAAUUGUAAAACCGCCAAAAGUCUAACAGACAAAAUGUUGGGACCUUCGGCCGCCGUGCAACGGAGUGGGCGAACGUGGGAUUAGCUAGUUGGUGGGGUAAUGGCUCACCAAGGCGACGAUCCCUAGCUGGUUUGAGAGGAUGAUCAGCCACACUGGAACUGAGACACGGUCCAGAUUCCUACGGGAGGCAGCAGUGGGGAAUAUUGGACAAUGGGCGCAAGCCUGAUCCAGCCAUGCUGCGUGUGUGAAGAAGGCCUUCGGGUUGUAAAGCGCUUUCAGUAGGGAGGAAGGGUGUUGUGUUAAUAGCACAGCAUUUUGACGUUACCUACAGAAGAAGCACCGGCUAACUCUGUGCCAGCCGCCGCAGUAAAAC
rnacentral:rRNA from 1 species